GCAUCAGUGGUUUAGUGGUAAAAUCCAUCGUUGCCAGUCAUGAUCGAUGGGCCCCGUGUUCGAUUCACGGCUGAUGCA
rnacentral:tRNA from 2 species